GUCCUACGGGUGGCUGCAGUGGGGAAUUUUGGACAAUGGGGGCAACCCUGAUCCAGCCAUUCCGCGUGAGUGAAGAAGGCCUUCGGGUUGUAAAGCUCUUUCGGCAGGAACGAAACGGUGGAGGCUAAUACCUUUCAUCAAUGACGGUACCUGAAGAAGAAGCACCGGCUAACUACGUGCCAGCAGCCGCGGUAAUACGUAGGGUGCGAGCGUUAAUCGGAAUUACUGGGCGUAAAGCGUGCGCAGGCGGUUUCGUAAGACAGAUGUGAAAUCCCCGGGCUUAACCUGGGAACUGCGUUGGUGACUGCGAGACUCGAGUGUGGCAGAGGGGGGUGGAAUUCCACGUGUAGCAGUGAAAUGCGUAGAGAUGUGGAGGAACACCGAUGGCGAAGGCAGCCCCCUGGGUCAACACUGACGCUCAUGCACGAAAGCGUGGGGAGCAAACAGGAUUAGAUACCCUAGUAGUCCC
rnacentral:rRNA from 1 species